GAUGAACGCUGGCGGCGUGCCUAAUACAUGCAAGUCGAGCGAACGGACGAGAAGCUUGCUUCUCUGAUGUUAGUGGCGGACGGGUGAGUAACACGUGGAUAACCUACCUAUAAGACUGGGAUAACUUCGGGAAACCGGAGCUAAUACCGGAUAAUAUUUUGAACCGCAUGGUUCAAAAGUGAAAGACGGUCUUGCUGUCACUUAUAGAUGGAUCCGCGCUGCAUUAGCUAGUUGGUAAGGUAACGGCUUACCAAGGCAACGAUGCAUAGCCGACCUGAGAGGGUGAUCGGCCACACUGGAACUGAGACACGGUCCAGACUCCUACGGGAGGCAGCAGUAGGGAAUCUUCCGCAAUGGGCGAAAGCCUGACGGAGCAACGCCGCGUGAGUGAUGAAGGUCUUCGGAUCGUAAAACUCUGUUAUUAGGGAAGAACAUAUGUGUAAGUAACUGUGCACAUCUUGACGGUACCUAAUCAGAAAGCCACGGCUAACUACGUGCCAGCAGCCGCGGUAAUACGUAGGUGGCAAGCGUUAUCCGGAAUUUAUGGGCGUAAAGCGCGCGUAGCGGUUUUUUAGUCUGAUGUGAAAGCCCACGGCUCAACCGUGGAGGGUCAUUGGAAACUGGAAAACUUGAGUGCAGAAGAGGAAAGUGGAAUUCCAUGUGUAGCGGUGAAAUGCGCAGAGAUAUGGAGGAACACCAGUGGCGAAGGCGACUUUCUGGUCUGUAACUGACGCUGAUGUGCGAAAGCGUGGGGAUCAAACAGGAUUAGAUACCCUGGUAGUCCACGCCGUAAACGAUGAGUGCUAAGUGUUAGGGGGUUUCCGCCCCUUAGUGCUGCAGCUAACGCAUUAAGCACUCCGCCUGGGGAGUACGACCGCAAGGUUGAAACUCAAAGGAAUUGACGGGGACCCGCACAAGCGGUGGAGCAUGUGGUUUAAUUCGAAGCAACGCGAAGAACCUUACCAAAUCUUGACAUCCUUUGACAACUCUAGAGAUAGAGCCUUCCCCUUCGGGGGACAAAGUGACAGGUGGUGCAUGGUUGUCGUCAGCUCGUGUCGUGAGAUGUUGGGUUAAGUCCCGCAACGAGCGCAACCCUUAAGCUUAGUUGCCCUCAUUAAGUUGGGCACUCUAAGUUGACUGCCGGUGACAAACCGGAGGAAGGUGGGGAUGACGUCAAAUCAUCAUGCCCCUUAUGAUUUGGGCUACACACGUGCUACAAUGGACAAUACAAAGGGCAGCGAAACCGCGAGGUCAAGCAAAUCCCAUAAAGUUGUUCUCAGUUCGGAUUGUAGUCUGCAACUCGACUACAUGAAGCUGGAAUCGCUAGUAAUCGUAGAUCAGCAUGCUACGGUGAAUACGUUCCCGGGUCU
rnacentral:rRNA from 1 species